UGGGGAAUCUUAGACAAUGGGGGAAACCCUGAUCUAGCCAUGCCGCGUGAGCGAUGAAGGCCUUAGGGUUGUAAAGCUCUUUCAGCUGGGAAGAUAAUGACGGAACCAGCAGAAGAAGCCCCGGCUAACUCCGUGCCAGCAGCCGCGGUAAUACGGAGGGGGCUAGCGUUGUUCGGAAUUACUGGGCGUAAAGCGCGCGUAGGCGGACCAGAAAGUUGGAGGUGAAAUCCCAGGGCUCAACCUUGGAACUGCCUUCAAAACUCCUGGUCUGGAGUUCGAGAGAGGUGAGUGGAAUUCCGAGUGUAGAGGUGAAAUUCGUAGAUAUUCGGAGGAACACCAGUGGCGAAGGCGGCUCACUGGCUCGAUACUGACGCUGAGGUGCGAAAGCGUGGGGAGCAAACAG
rnacentral:rRNA from 1 species